GAAAUUCUUUAGUCAUAUUUGUAGUUGUCUCACACCAGAUACUCAUGUGACUCUAGAGAUUCUAUCGUAUAUCCAAAUUUUGAUUGUCACCAUAUGAUUGUGUAUCGCACCCUGUCAUGUAUUGGGUUGUGUUGUAUCAUGCACUGAUCAUUGUUCGUUGCAUCCCGUGUCGUUGCAUGAGUCGUGUUUGAGUCGUUGUGUU
rnacentral:lncRNA from 1 species